rnacentral:rRNA from 1 species
CACGGGGGGAACGAGCGUUGUUCGGAUUUACUGGGCGUAAAGGGUGCGUAGGCGGGUCGGCAAGUCGGGUGUGAAAUUCCAUGGCUUAACCAUGGAUCUGCAUUCGAAACUGUUGGUCUUGAGUACUGGAGAGGUGAGUGGAAUUCUCGGUGUAGCGGUGAAAUGCGUAGAUAUCGAGAGGAACACCGUUGGCGAAGGCGGCUCACUGGACAGAUACUGACGCUGAGGCACGAAGGUCGGGGGAGCAAACAGG